ACCGGCCCGAUAAAAUAUAUGUUUUUGUGAUGUGUGACGAACGUCCACAUACCGGUGGUCCGUGGAGCCCUGUCCGAAUCUAUCCACCCAACAAGAUAUCACGAUUUCACCUUUUCCACUUGGUCAAUGACCAACAACAUCUGCACUCGAUACCUCUUUUAUCUACAUCUUUAUUAUAUAUUGAUACCCCAAGUCCCCAACACACGUAGACGAUAAAGCUUUUGCGAAUAUUUUUUAUACGAAUUUUUAUUAACGUCCACAAAAUAUAUGAUUUAAUCGUUAGCGACUGACGGAUACCAAUCCAUCGAAUUGACCAUUGAUGUCUCCUAGUUUAUAUAAUGCUGAAUAACCAAAGUACGUACAAGAAGGAGCAUCUUUACUCCUAGUAUAAAAAGUCUUAUUAACCAUUAAGAAUACCACUACACCGAAAGAAUCUUAUUCGUGAAAUUUUAAGGGAAUGGAUUUGAAAACACAAACUACGUUUCAUGAUACUUUAAAAAUUACUAAAGCCUUAUAAAUGUCUUAAA
rnacentral:lncRNA from 1 species